AACUUUGAUAUUUACAACAAACUGUGUAGAACCUUUCAGCUAUUUUAUUUCAUUAGUUUCAUAUUCCGUUGACACAUUUAUAUAAAGUAUAUUCAAAAUGUUUUUCGAAAUUGCCAAUAUUUUUAAAAUCUUCCAGAAAUACUAAACAACAAUGAAAAUUUGAAAUCAGGAAUCCAUAAAGUACUGUUUUCCAUCAGAAGAUGAAAAUGGAAAAGCAUGGAACGAUGAACAGACUUUGCAGCUUAAGCAGAUGAUCAAUUCCGAAUAAUAUGUUAAAUAAAUUAUUUUAAAAUCAAUCAAUAUUUUGUAUAUAAUUUCUGCAUCCAAAAAUAUCCGUUCUUGUCGAACUUAAUGCUCAAUAAAUUUACUACUUUUUAUUAUAUUA